rnacentral:rRNA from 1 species
AUUGAACGCUGGCGGCAUGCCUUACACAUGCAAGUCGAACGGCAGCACGGGAGCAAUCCUGGUGGCGAGUGGCGAACGGGUGAGUAAUGUAUCGGAACGUACCUUUCAGUGGGGGAUAACGUAGCGAAAGUUACGCUAAUACCGCAUAUUCUGUGAGCAGGAAAGCAGGGGAUCGCAAGACCUUGCGCUGAUUGAGCGGCCGAUAUCAGAUUAGCUAGUUGGUGAGGUAAAGGCUCACCAAGGCGACGAUCUGUAGCGGGUCUGAGAGGAUGAUCCGCCACACUGGAACUGAGACACGGUCCAGACUCCUACGGGAGGCAGCAGUGGGGAAUUUUGGGCAAUGGGCGCAAGCCUGAUCCAGCCAUGCCGCGUGAGUGAAGAAGGCCUCGGUUGU